rnacentral:lncRNA from 1 species
CAAAUGUUUAUAUCUUUAAGGAUGUUUCUUUUCUUUGAUUAAAAAGUCCCUUUCAGUCCAAGAGUGAAAAAAAAUAUUCUUAUCACUAGGAAUUUGAUGUUCUGCAAAGAAUACAGUUUUGUCAGCAAUAAAAUGGUGUAUUUCAUGUAAGUGUAUGCUUUUGCAGCUCACAAAGCAAGCACAAUGGUUUUUGUCAGUGAGACCAAGAUCCAAUAUAUUGGAGAAAGUGCUCAUAAAAUCUGAUACAGAAUCUAUCUCAAGAAAUAUUUCCCACCCCUUAAAUUUGUCCCCUUCAUUGAGGAGUUGACUUCAUGGUGAAUUACUCCAAAUAGUUGGAAAAUGUUAAAUGUUAUCUUUGCUGAUAAAGGAACAGAGGUCUGUGAAAUCUCUUCUACUGCAGCAGUACAAAAGAGAAGGUGACAUAUAGUAAGGCAUCUCUGGACAAUUAGAGGUAAGCUUCUGAAAAUAUUUUACAGAAUUGGAAAAUAAUUCAUUUGUACAUUGGGAUGGUAGUGAG